UGACAAAAUGACAUAUUUUAUAAAUAAUCAUAGAAAUACAUAUUUUAUAUAACAAGUUGUAAUCGAAAAAAUUUCUGUAAUUCUAAGAAAUAGCAUAAUCUGGAAUAUUUGUACUUGCAUACAUGUGGCACUAAAUAAUUAUCAUACGUUUAUAUUAAUCCAUAUUUUAUGAAAACAGUUGUUUGUUUCAUACUUCGGUUUUAUUGUUUGAGGAAAAUAAAUGUUAUAGAAAUUGACAAACUUAAGCACACAUAUAAGCAUAAGCCUAAACAUGAUAUAAUAUUUUCCAAAAGAGGUAAAUUUGAAAAGUUGAGAUGAUGAGUGUUAAUCAGAAAUUCCAGUCCAGGCCAACCUCCGCCACCGCCUCCGACUUACAACCACCUCACAACUUUGAUGGGUUCUCACGACCACAUUUUACCGAAAUCCUUGUGCAAGAACAGGGAAAGAAAGGCCAGACAAUUGAAAAUAAGAAGUGACCAAAUAAAAUGUUGCCAAUAUUUUAUGUACUCAGGGAGACAAACCUGACUUAAGGAUUAUCAUCAAACGACAUCGUCAACUCAUGACAAUUCACAACUGGCCGUUUUUUUCUCUUUAUUUCAAGAUGCAAAGGAUGUACAGGCGAUUAUUAAACUUUUGAUCCGCUUCA